GUCUUCCUUCCUGAUGGGGAAAAGUUCUACACUUUCGUGCUUGCAGACGUAUGCUGGGCUAUAUGGAAUUGCCGAAACCAAGCUACCUUUGAACAAAAAAAGUUAAAGACUCCUUUUGCUGUGAUUUACUCUGCAUGUGGCUUCAUAUCUUAUUGGGCAGGAAUGAUGACUGGAGCGGACCGGGAGGCGAUGGAGAGAGGUGCCAAAAUGCUAAGAGACAGCACAUCAAACAUGAUGAGGAUUUGCGCAGCGUCGGGCGAGAGGACUCAAGAUUGA
rnacentral:rRNA from 1 species